UACGUAGGGCGCAAGCGUUGUCCGGAAUUAUUGGGCGUAAAGAGCUCGUAGGCGGCUUGUCACGUCGGGUGUGAAAGCCCGGGGCUUACCCCGGGUCUGCAUUCGAUACGGGCUAGCUAGAGUGUGGUAGGGGAGAUCGGAAUUCCUGGUGUAGCGGUGAAAUGCGCAGAUAUCAGGAGGAACACCGGUGGCGAAGGCGGAUCUCUGGGCCAUUACUGACGCUGAGGAGCGAAAGCGUGGGGAGCGAACAGG
rnacentral:rRNA from 1 species